AUAAAUUACUUUUAUUUUGAGCGUUCAUUCUUAAAUAUGUUAUAGGAAGUAAGUAAGAAGCAUUCCUUACUCCUUAGAAUUUUGUUUAUAAAUUAGUGAUGAAUUGGAAAGGGUAGCUUGCCCCUGGAAUUCUCUGAUAAGCACAGGUGAUGAGGAAAAUGGAGAAAUCCAAGAAUUCCUUUGUCUUUCCUUAAAAGUAGUCAGCUUUAAGUGCAGUGCAGGCGUGCCCUCUAGCGGCCAAAUAAAAAAUAAAUACGGGAAACCUUCAGCCAUGUAACAAUCGCACGUCCCCAUCUAGUGGCUAACGUGUGUAAAUGCAGCUUUUCUAAUCACAAUAACGGACGUUACUUGAUUUAUAUUUGUCUCAUGAGGUGAAGAACUGGGAGGAAUCUUAGAGAUCACGUAUUUCAACUUCCUCACGGAGUGGCAUGCAGGCAGCAGCCUUGGGAACCCCGAUUGCCCCUCCUCACACCUGCCCAUCACAGGACUCGGGCGAUGGGGUGGUGAAGUCAAGCUGUGGCCCCAGCGGCGCCACAAGGCCGAAAACCGGCGCUCAGCCUCAUCCCGGUGGCUGCAGAGUGCCAAGCGUCAGGUUCUGCGCUCUGGGCGCGGGUCAGGAGCAGCUGGAAAGGGCAGCGCAGCCUGUGGGGCCCUUGGGCGCUGGCCGGCCGCAGCUCCGGGAAGCCACGUCAGCCCACGGGCGCUGCAGCUGCAGCCGCCACCAGCACAUGGAGCAGGGAUCCCCGAGGAUUGGGAAUCCCCGACCAGGCCUGCGCCUCCAGCCGCGCGGACCCCGGGGCCAGCCUGGCCGCGGCAAGUCAGGCAGUCUGCGGCAGGAGCGCCGGGCAUGGGCUUCGGCCGGGGGUGCAGGAGGCGCGCACCCUCCGGCCUGAUGGGGGCGCACUCAGGGCCCAGGAGGCCAUCCCACGGGAGCCCCGCCAGCCCCCGCCGGAGCCCGAGCUGCAGUGCCGCCUGCAAGUGGUGCCCUGGCUGCAGCUGUGGCAACCCCGGAUCCCGUCCUCCCGCCUCGCAGCCAUCAGCGCGGACCCCGGGGGCGACGCAGUGGCGAUGUCGGGCUGUGGGCCCAGCGGUGGCACCAGGCGGAGAAGCACCACUCAACCCCAUCCCUGGGCUGCAGAGGGCCCAGCGCGGGGGGCUCCGAGCGUCGGGAGCCUGUGGAAGAGAAGAGCGCGCGGGCGACAGUUGAACAGGCCCUGGGGCAGGGCGCGCCUCGCGCUCCAGGGAGCCCCGCCAGCCCGCGGCACCUCCGUAGCAACCGCCGCCUGCACUGGGCGCGCGAGAGCUGCUAGGGCGGUUUCUCUGCCUCGGGCCUGUUGGGCAGGGCCGGCUAAGGUGCGCGUGCUCGCUGGUCCUAACCGUUCUGUUGGGCGUUUCUGCUGAGAGGCGGGAGGCGCUGAGAGUCUGUGCGAAGGUCCGUGGACAGACUGCUUUGCCUGUUGUUGCUCUUCGGAGGCGGCGAUCCCCGAAGGCGAGCUGAAAUACGGCUGCAGGCUACAAUUUGCAGCCGACGAUUAUGGAAGACUACGAGCGGGAGAGGUGGCCCACCCUCAGAGAGCGCUUGUGCUCGGAUGGCUUCGCAUUUCCCCAAUACCACAUUAAAUUGUAUCAUCUGAAGAGGAUCCACAGAGCUGUCUUCUAUCGUGAUCUGGAGAAACUGAAGUACCUUCUGCUCACGUAUUAUGACGCCAAUAAGAGAGACAGGAAGGAAAGGACUGCCCUACAUUUGGCCUGUGCCACUGGCCAACCGGAAAUGGUACGUCUCCUGGUGUCCAGAAAAUGUGAGCUUAACCUCUGCGACCGUGAAGACAGGACACCUCUGAUCAAGGCUGUACAACUGAGGCAGGAGGCUUGUGCAACAAUUCUGCUGCAAAAUGGCGCUGAUCCAAAUAUUACGGAUUUCUUUGGAAGGACUGCUCUACACUACGCUGUGUAUAAUGAAGAUACAUCCAUGAUAGAAAAACUUCUUUCAUAUGGUGCAAAUAUUGAAGAAUGCAGCAAGUGUGAAUUUCAGCCACUGUUACUUGCUGUGAGUCGAAGAAAAGUGAAAAUGGUGGAAUUUUUAUUAAAGAAAAAAGCAAAUGUAAAUGCCAUUGAUUAUCUUGGCAGAUCAGCCCUCAUACAUGCUGUUACUCUUGGAGAAAAAGAUAUAGUCAUUCUUCUUCUGCAGCACAAUAUUGAUGUGUUUUCUCGAGAUGCGUUUCGAAAGAUUGCAGGAGAUUAUGCCAGUGAGGCUGAGAAUAGAGUCAUUUUCGAACUAAUUUAUGAAUAUGAAAGAAAGAAACAUGAAGAGCUUUCUAUAAAUAGCGAUCCAGUGUCUUCUCAGAAACAACCAGCCUUGAAGGCUACAAGUGGCAAGGAAGAUUCUAUUUCGAAUAUAGCCACAGAAAUAAAGGAUGGACAAAAAUCUGGGACAGUGUCUUCUCAGAAACAACCGGCCUUGAAGGAUACAAGUGACAAGAAAGAUUCUGUUUCGAACACAGCCACAGAAAUAAAAGAUGAACAAAAAUCUGGGACAGUGUCUUCUCAGAAACAACCGGCCUUGAAGGAUACAAGUGACAAGAAAGAUUCUGUUUCGAACACAGCCACAGAAAUAAAAGAUGAACAAAAAUCUGGGACAGUGCUUCCUGCUGUUGAACAGUGUUUAAACAGGAGUCUCUACAGACCUGAUGCUGUUGCACAGCCUGUGACAGAGGAUGAGUUUGCUUUGGAAUCUGAGAUUAUUUCAAAACUAUACAUCCCAAAGAGAAAGAUUAUUUCUCCACGAUCUAUAAAAGAUGCGCUUCCUCCUGUUGAAGAGGCUGUUGACAGGUGUCUCUACCUACUGGACCGUUUUGCACAGCCUGUGACAAAGGAUGAGUUUGCUUUGGAAUCUGAGAAUAUUUCAGAACCAUACUUUACGAACAGAAGGACUAUUUCUCAACAAUCUGCAGAAAAUGUAGAUACUGCAUGUGGCAUUGACAAAACAGAAAAUGGAAACGUGUUUGAAGACCAAAAUGUUGAUAAGGAAGGAAAAGCACUACCAGCAACUGGACAAAAAGCAAAUGUGUCUCCUGAGCAACCGCCUUUAUUCACGCAUACGGUGAAAGACAGAGAUCACAUUUCAACUAGAUUCUUAGGAAGUACGGAUUCACUAACUUCCAGUGAAGAAUCUUCUGAGCGACCUCCUUUAUCCACGCUUACUCUGAAAGAGGCAGAUCCCAGUUCAAAAGCAGCCAUGAGAAGGAAGGAUUCACCACCUCCAGGAAAAGUGUCUUCUCAGAAACAACCAGCUGAGAAGGCUACAAGUGACGACAAAGAUUCUGUUUCAAAUAUAGCCACAGAAAUAAAGGAGGGACCAAUAUCUGGGACAGUGUCUUCUCAGAAACAACCAGCUGAGAAGGCUACAAGUGAUGAGAAAGAUUCUGUUUCAAAUAUAGCCACAGAAAUAAAGAAGGGACAACAAUCUGGGACAGUGUCUCCUCAGAAACAAUCGGCCUGGAAGGUUAUAUUUAAAAAGAAAGUUUCUCUUUCGAAUAUUGCCACAAGAAUAAUGGGCGGUGGGAAAUCUGGAACAGUGUCUUCUCAGAAACAACCACCCUCAAAGGCUGCAAGUGACAAGACAGAUUCUGCUUUGAAUAUAGCUACAGAAAUAAAGGAUGGACUACAAUGUGGGACAGUGUCUUCUCAGAAACAACCAGCCUUGAAGGCUACAACUGACGAGGAAGACUCUGUUUCGAAUAUAGCCACAGAAAUAAAGGAUGGAGAAAUAUCUGGGACAGUGUCUUCUCGGAAAAAACCAGCCUUGAAGGCUACAAGUGAUGAGAAAGAUUCUUUUUCGAAUAUAACCACAGGAAAAAAGGAUGGAGAAAUAUCUAGGAAAGUAUCUUCUCGGAGACAACCAGCCUUGAAGGCUACAGGUGAUGAGAAAGAUUCUGUUUCGAAUAUAGCCAGAGAAAUAAAGGAUGGAGAAAAAUCUGGGACAGUGUCUCCUCAGAAACAAUCGGCCUGGAAGGUUAUAUUUAAAAAGAAAGUUUCUCUUUCGAAUAUUGCCACAAGAAUAACAGGCGGUUGGAAAUCUGGAACAGAGUAUCCUGAGAAUCUGCCCACCUUGAAGGCUACAAUUGAAAAUAAAAAUUCUGUUCUGAAUACAGCCACCAAAAUGAAGGAUGUACAAACAUCCACACCAGCAGAACAAGACUUAGAAAUGGCAUCAGAGGGAGAGCAAAAGAGGCUUGAAGAAUAUGAAAAUAACCAGCCACAGGUGAAAAACCAAAUACAUUCUAGGGAUGACCUUGAUGACAUAAUUCAGUCAUCUCAAACAGUCUCAGAGGACGGUGACUCGCUUUGCUGUAAUUGUAAGAAUGUCAUAUUACUCAUUGAUCAACAUGAAAUGAAGUGUAAAGAUUGUGUUCACCUAUUGAAAAUUAAAAAUACAUUUUGUUUAUGGAAAAGAUUAAUAAAACUUAAAGAUAACCACUGUAAGCAACUUAGAGUAAAAAUUCAAAAAAUGAAAAAUAAGGCUAGUGUACUACAAAAGAGACUAUCUGAAAAAGAAGAAAUAAAAUCGCAGUUAGAGCAUGAAACACUUGAAUUGGAAAAAGAACUCUGUAGUUUGAGAUUUGCCAUACAGCAAGAAAAAAAGAAAAGAAGAAAUGUUGAAGAGUUGCACCAAAAAGUUAGGGAAAAGUUAAGAAUAACAGAAGAGCAAUAUAGGAUAGAAGCUGAUGUGACAAAACCAAUUAAACCGGCUCUCAAAUCAGCGGAGGUGGAAUUGAAGACAGGAGGAAAUAAUUCAAAUCAGGUUUCUGAAACUGAUGAAAAAGAAGACCUGCUGCAUGAAAACCGCUUGAUGCAAGAUGAAAUUGCCAGGCUCAGGCUGGAAAAAGACACAAUAAAAAACCAAAACCUGGAAAAGAAAUACUUAAAAGACUUUGAAAUUGUGAAAAGAAAGCGUGAAGACCUUCAAAAGGCUCUAAAACGGAAUGGGGAAACAUUAGCAAAAACGAUAGCCUCUUAUAGUGGACAGCUUGCUGCUCUCACGGAUGAAAACACAACGCUCCGUUCCAAACUGGAGAAGCAAAGAGAGAGCAGGCAAAGACUGGAAACAGAAAUGCAAUCAUACCGUUGUAGACUGAAUGCUGCUCUAUGUGAUCAUGAUCAAAGUCACUCAUCAAAAAGAGACCAAGAGCUUGCUUUCCAGGGCACAGUAGAUAAAUGUUGUCAUUUACAGGAAAAUUUGAAUUCUCAGGUUCUGAUUCUUUCUCUGCAACUUUCUAAAGCUGAGAGUAAGUCCAGAGUCCUCAAAACUGAGCUCCAUUACACAGGAGAGGCUCUGAAAGAAAAGGCUUUGGUUUUUGAACACGUGCAAAGUGAGCUAAAGCAAAAACAGAGUCAAAUGAAGGACAUUGAAAAAAUGUACAAAAGUGGAUACAAUACAAUGGAAAAAUGCAUAGAAAAGCAGGAAAGAUUUUGUCAACUAAAAAAACAAAAUAUGUUGCUUCAACAGCAACUGGAUGAUGCUCGCAACAAAGCUGACAAUCAAGAAAAAGCAAUACUUAAUAUUCAAGCCAGAUGCGAUGCUAGAGUACAAAACCUUCAAGCUGAGUGCAGAAAGCACCGUCUUUUACUAGAAGAAGACAAUAAAAUGUUGGUCAAUGGAUUGAAUCAUUCGAAAGAAAAAGAAUGCCAAUAUGAAAAAGAGAAAGCAGAAAGAGAAGUAGCUGUGAGACAGCUUCAACAAAAACGAGAUGAUGUCUUAAACAAAGGAUCAGCAACAAAAGCUUUGCUGGAUGCUUCAUCGCGUCACUGCACCUAUUUAGAAAAUGGGAUGCAGGAUUCAAGGAAGAAAUUAGACCAGAUGAGAAGUCAAUUUCAAGAAAUACAGGAUCAACUUACAGCUACUAUAAGAUGUACUAAGGAGAUGGAAGGCAACGCACAAAAGCUUGAAGUAGAACAUGUGAUGAUGAGAAAAAUUAUUAAAAAACAGGAUGACCAAAUUGAGCGGCUUGAGAAAAUCCUGCAGCAUUCAAGUUUGAUGCUGCAGGUGUUUGAGAGCUAGAUGAAGCAUCCAGCCAAACUAGACUACAUGGAGCUCCACAGUGAUCGUCUUCACCUCCAGCUGUUUGCAUUUACUUCUUCCCUCUAUCCUACGUGUGCUUUCCUUCCCCUUCAGAUAUCAACCUAUGAAUUGCCUCUACCAAAAAGCCUACAAUAUUGACACAAACCUGGAUAUGGACAUUUCUGGAAUUACAGAGCCCCCUCUACAUUGAGCACAAGACAGUGACGAAUCCACAUUCUUCAGCCAGAAAGUCACCUCUGAGAGCCAAAUGUCUGACUAUAGACAGGAGAGUCAAAGAAUGAUAAUGACAUCUCAGGAAAAUUGUGAAAAUAAUCAGCAACCGUAUGUGGAUAACCCUUUCAAA